AGUAAGCUUUGUUGGUCAAGCUACUAAGGGCGCACGGUGGAUGCCUUGGCACCAGCAGGCGAUGAAGGACGUGGUAAGCUGCGAUAAGCCUCGGGGAGGUGCAAACAACCUUUGAUCCGGGGAUUUCCGAAUGGGGCAACCCAGACGCCGUCAUGGGCGUCUACUCCGCGCUGAAUCCAUAGGCGCGGCAGAGCCAACGGGGAGAACUGAAACAUCUCAGUAUCCCCAGGAAAAGAAAGUACAAACGAUUCCCUGAGUAGCGGCGAGCGAAAGGGGAAGAGCCUAAACCGCACGCGUGUAAGGGCGCAUCCGUUGCCCGUGCGGGGUCGUGGGAUCUACAUCCGGUUCAUGCGUGAACCGGCGGAAGUCACAAAGGUCGGCGCUAGCUGAAUCGCUCUGGAAAGGCGACCCAUAGAGGGUGACAGUCCCGUAAGCGAAAGCGCGCGACCCUUCCGAGUAGACACCCGAGUAACGCCGGACACGAGAAAUCCGGCGUGAAUCUGGGAGGACCAUCUCCUAAGGCUAAAUACUCGCUGGUGACCGAUAGCGAACCAGUACCGUGAGGGAAAGGUGAAAAGCACCGCUGACGCGGAGUGAAAUAGUACCUGAAACCGUGUGCCUACAAGCGGUAGGAGGAGGGCGGGCCUUCGGGUCCGUGCCUCUGACUGCGUGCCUUU
rnacentral:rRNA from 1 species